rnacentral:rRNA from 1 species
GACAGAGGUUGCGAGCGGUAAUCGGAAUUACUGGGCGUAAAGCGCACGUAGGUGGCGACGUAAGUCGGGUGUGAAAGCCCCGGGCUCAACCUGGGAAUUGCAUUCGAGACUGCAUUGCUGGAGUACGGAAGAGGAGGGCGGAAUUCCCGGUGUAGCGGUGAAAUGCGUAGAUAUCGGGAGGAACAUCAGUGGCGCAGGCGGCCCUCUGGUCCAGUACUGACACUCAAGUGCGAAAGCGUGGGGAGCAAACAGG